UAAAUGAUUAAUUCAAUAAAACCUUGUUUUGAGGUAUUAUUUAGAAUUCAUAGCUGACAUGUCGCUUUUCUUGAUGGAAGGCAUGUCAGAGUU
rnacentral:misc_RNA from 1 species